CUCUGGGGAGAGAAAGGUGAUUGCUUAAGAGGUGAAGCCCCUUAGAGCAUUCAAAAUGAGGAGUGAUUUUGUACAGAGGACAUCAUGCAGCAGGCUGGAUGUCUAGUUCCAAUUCCUUUAUUUGUUACCUCUGGGACCUUGAAGAAGUAGUUUCUAGUCUCGGCAUACCAAAGCUUCAUCUGCAAGUGAGAGCAUUGGACUGAUGAUCUUCAAGGUCCUUCCUCCUCUAACAUUCACUGAAUCUGCUAUUUUUGACAUAUUGAAUAAUCAGAAGCAGCCAAUUUUAGUAUCUUAUUAUAGCAAAAGUGGUAAAAAUAAUGAGCAUAUACUAUCAAUGUGCAUCUAUGUCUUCUUAUGUUUGAGUGAGGAUCCCGAUAUAUAAACCUUGGCUGAUAAUUUCUACUGAAAAAAAUCAUAAGUAUUAAAGACACUCUACUGAAGAUGUUCUCUCCAGACUCUCCUACAGGCAAUCAUGAGCAAGAGGGUUGGCAUCAUCGGAGCUGGAGUCAGUGGCUUGGCUGCCAUACGGUGCUGUCUGGAGGAGGGGUUGGAGCCCACUUGCUUUGAAAGGAGCAAUGAUGUUGGAGGCCUGUGGAAAUUCUUGGUGAGUGGCACAUCAUUAGAACACCAGUGAAGGAGAUGGGUUCCAAUGCAAAUCAAAUCUGAUCAGUUCUAAUUCAGAUUUAGAAGGCAGAUCACAAAAGCUCCAAAUCUGGAAAGUAAAAUCUUACCCUCCAAUCAUACUAAUGCCCAAAAAACUAUUUCACACCAGCAAAAUUUGUCCUGAAAAGGACAUUUUCAGCUCAUUAAACAUCAUCACCUGCAUGGUGAAAUCCAGAUCUCCAAGCUGUAAAGGGCACUAAUGUUAGUAAUUAGUCAAAAAUAUACUAUGGCCUUCCCAGGACAUCACGUAUACCCCAAUCUGCCAACUGAUUCCUUUCCUGGCCUGGACCAGUUUCGAGGCAACUACCUCCAUAGCCGGGAUUAUAAGAAUCCAGAUGCCUUCAUAGGGGAAGAGGGUCCUCGUGAUUGGUCUAGGGAAUUCGGGAUCUGACAUUGCUGUUGAGCUCAGCCAUCUGGCUACACAGGUCAUUUUCAGUACCAGAAGUGGUUCCUGGGUCAUGAGUCGGGUCUGGGAUGAUGGCUAUCCUUGGGAUAUGAUGUAUGUUACCCGCUUUGCAUCCUUUCUCCGGAAUGUCCUUCCUUCAUUCGUCUCUGACUGGUUAUAUGUCCAGAAGAUGAACACGUGGUUUAAGCAUGAGAGCUAUGGCCUGAUGCCUUUAAAUGGUUCCCUGAGAAAAGAGCCUGUGUUCAAUGAUGAGCUCCCAUCCCGCAUCGUGUGUGGCACUCCGUCCAUCAAGCCCAGUGUGAAGGAGUUCACGGAAACCUCAGCUGUGUUUGAGGAUGGGACCGUGUUUGAGGCUAUCGACUCCGUCAUCUUUGCAACAGGCUAUGAUUAUUCCUACCCCGCCUUGAUGAGACCAUCAUGAAAAGCAGAAACAAUGAGGUUACCUUGUUUAAAGGCAUCUUCCCCCCACUAAGGGAGAAGCCAACCUUGGCUGUGAUUGGCUUGGUUCAGUCCCUUGGAGCUGCCAUCCCCAUAGCAGACCUGCAAGCCCGGUGGGCUGCUAAAGUAUUUGCAAACUCAUGUACCCUGCCAACCAUGAAUGAAAUGAUGGAUUACAUUGAUGAGAAAAUGGGGAAAAAAUUCAAGUGAUCCCCACCUGGCCCUGGAGGUGUACUUUGGCCCUUGCAGCCCAUACCAGUUUCGACUGAUGGGACCAGGGAAGUGGGAUGGGGCCAGAAAUGCCAUCCUGACCCAAUGGAAAUGGACAGUGAAGCCAACCAGGACAAGAGUUGUCAGUGAAGCUCAGCGACCCCAUCCCUUUUACAAUUUGCUUAAAAUGCUUUCAUUCCCAUUACUCCUUCUGGCUGUUACACUUACAUUUUAUUAAUGAGAAAGUCUUUGAGGUCUCAAAGUUCAGCGUACAAGUGUAAUCACAUAAUACAACACACAAUCACAACAUAGUUCCUCUCUCCUUUCCUGAAGAUAUGAAAAUCAGUCUUGGCCCAUUUGAAUUAAAGUAUAAGUAAAAUGGAAAA
rnacentral:sRNA from 1 species